rnacentral:rRNA from 1 species
AACAUGAAUAUGAUGUAGGUUCAGAUCUAACGCUAUAUAGAGGCAUAACACAUGCGAAUAUAUAUAUAAUAUGAAUAUAAUUUAUUAUAUAAGUAUUAUAUUAUGUGUACAGGUGAGUAGUAAGGGCUAGAAAUAGCCUUAAUAGAUGUAGGUAUUAGUUUAUACUAGCCUUAGACCUAUACUCCGUGAUUGACGUCAUAAGGAGCACAUGGAAGAUACUUCCACUACUAUUAGUAGCAGCAGUGGGGAAUUAUUGACAAUGACCUAACGGUUGAUCAUGCUAUCUAUAUGAGAUUACUAAGAUAUAAAUAUUAUUUUAUAUAAUAUAAUUAAUACUUAGUAUAAUAUCUCAAUCUUAUAUAUAAUAAUGAUGUAUAUAAAGAUUUAGUUCUUACCAAGUGGUGUGCCAGCAGUAGCGGUCAUACACCCAGAGCGAGCGUUGAUCAUCCUUGGCAUAAAGGACCCGUAGGCUUAAGUAUAUACAUUAUAUAUAAUGUGUAUUUAAUAAGAUAGCCCGUCCUCCAGAGGAGGCCGGGCCAUCCUCGAUAGAAUCUAUUAGCUGGUAGUAUGUAACAUAUAUAUAGGGUUAAUAUACUAUGACAUAUAUUGGACAGCAUAGCGACUACUACUGAUAGAUUGACGCUGAGGGGUGAAAGCUACAAGAGCGACAUGGAUUCGGUACCCAUUUAGCUGUAGCCGUAAACUAUGUGUACUACGUAUAUGUAAGAUAGUUAUGGGUUUAUAAACCUAUAACUUUCAUUAUGGGUACGUUAAUACUUGAAGUACACCGCCAGACUAGUACGUCCUCACGGAUGAAAUGCAAUACAUUAGACGGUUAUAUACAGGUACAGUGGAUUAUGCUGUUUAAUUGGAUGAUACCCCUAACACCUUACCAAUUCUUGAAUAUAUACUCAUUACCUGAACGAGUAUAUACAGGCGUUACAUUGUUGUCGUCAGUUCAUGCCAAGUGGUAUUUUAUUUAGUUAUAUAAUGAACGCAACCCUCGACUAUUUAAGUAAGCCCGACCUAUGGUCGGGCCUACUAUAAUUAGUGAUGCAUAAUAGAUAUAUUAUGGGAAGUAGAGGCUGAAGACUAAUCCGCAUGACCCUUAUGAAUUGGGCUACAGGUGUAAUACGACUAUAUGAGUAAUUAAAUAUAUAUAUUAAAUCAAUAUAUUAAAUGAAAUCAUAUAAUCAUGAAAGCUAAUCGUUAACUGAAUUAUCUCCUGUAACUCGGAGAUAUGAAAGCGGAACUGUCAGUAAUCGUGAAUUAGUAUGUCACGGUGAAUAUUACAUAUAUUUCGCACUAAUCACUCAUCAAUAGCACAGAUAUUACCCAUAGAUGUUAAUAGUAAUAUAUAUUAACGUCUAUAUUGGUAUAUGAUAUGCUAUAAGUUGAAAUACAGUUCGGGUAUGGGAACAUGCUCGGGAUUUAUAAUAAUAUUAACAAAUAAAUAUUCUCA